UACGAGGGGGGCGAGCGUUGUCCGGAAUUAUUGGGCGUAAAGAGCUCGUAGGCGGUUUGUUGCGUCGGCUGUGAAAUCCCGAGGCUCAACCUCGGGUCUGCAGUCGAUACGAGCAAACUAGAGUGUUGCAGGGGAGACUGGAAUUCCUGGUGUAGCGGUGAAAUGCGCAGAUAUCAGGAGGAACACCAAUGGCGAAGGCAGCCCGCUGGAACGGUACUGACGCUGAGGCGCGAAAGCGUGGGGAGCGAACAGG
rnacentral:rRNA from 1 species